AUUGAACGCUGGCGGCAUGCCUUACACAUGCAAGUCGAACGGUAACAGGUCUUCGGAUGCUGACGAGUGGCGAACGGGUGAGUAAUACAUCGGAACGUGCCCGAUCGUGGGGGAUAACGAGGCGAAAGCUUUGCUAAUACCGCAUACGAUCUACGGAUGAAAGCGGGGGAUCUUCGGACCUCGCACGGACGGAGCGGCCGAUGGCAGAUUAGGUAGUUGGUGGGAUAAAAGCUUACCAAGCCGACGAUCUGUAGCUGGUCUGAGAGGAUGAUCAGCCACACUGGGACUGAGACACGGCCCAGACUCCUACGGGAGGCAGCAGUGGGGAAUUUUGGACAAUGGGCGAAAGCCUGAUCCAGCCAUGCCGCGUGCAGGAUGAAGGCCUUCGGGUUGUAAACUGCUUUUGUACGGAACGAAAAGCCUCUUUCUAAUAAAGAGGGGUCAUGACGGUACCGUAAGAAUAAGCACCGGCUAACUACGUG
rnacentral:rRNA from 1 species